GUUGAGUCUGUGGAGAGGGAUAACGAGAGAGAGAGGCAGGUUUUCUGUUGAGUCUGUGGAGAGGGAUAACGAGAGAGAGAGGCAGGUUUUCUGUUGAGUCUGUGGAGAGGGAUAACGAGAGAAAGAGGCAGGUUUUCUGUUGAGUCUGUGGAGAGGCAUAACGAGAGAGAGGCAGGUUUUCUGUGGAGAGGCAUAAUGAGAGAGAGGCAGGUUUUCUGUGGAGAGGCAUAAUGAGAGAGAGGCAGGUUUUCUGUGGAGAGGCAUAACGAGAGAGAGGCAGGUUUUCUGUGGAGAGGCAUAACGAGAGAGAGAGGCAGGUUUUCUGUGGAGAGGCAUAACGAGAGAGAGGCAGGUUUUCUGUGGAGAGGCAUAACGAGAGAGAGGCAGGUUUUCUGUGGAGAGGCAUAACGAGAG
ensembl:lncRNA